AGAUUGUCAUGUGACCAGCAAACACUGGGCUUGUUCCGACAUUGCAGCCGACUGACUGAUCUACAAAUCACCUUGCAUCAUAAAUACCGAUAUUAUUAUUUGUAGAUCAGUCAGUAAGCAUUUGCUUCACGGUUUUGAUGCUCCCGAACAACGGCUUUUAAGAGAAACAGAAAGUUGACCGAACUACGGUUGUUGUUACGGUAGAAACGACGCUGUUACCCAGCGCUCACCUCCAUCAUUCUGAACUCUUUUGACUGAACACCGUUUUGAACCCACGUUCUUGCUGCAUGCUGCUUGCACGGUUUCUACGAAGGUACCGUAAGUAGGUUGACAAACAUUUUUGAGAUCCAUUACUGGGAGUUACAGGCUAGGUACUGUUUGUAGCACAUAUCAUUUUCGACCAACCUUUACUUGAAUGUCCAGUUUCAGGUGGUGGGUUUGAAUCUAGAAAAUGCUCCGUUAUCAAAAUAAAUACAUGUUUUGUUCCAUUAAAUAAUUCAACAAUGUGUAUGGCGCCAUCUUGUCUAUUUAAAAUAUCUAAUUGAUUGAGACAGGUCCACCCUAAAGUGCAGGAUGUCAUGAUGACACUUUAAUUUUUUAUUUUUAUUAACAACAAAUCAAUACAUAAAGCACAUGAGGGAACACAAGCAUACAUAGAUUACAAACAAUAGACAAUCGAGCUAGGGGCGGGGCUGGGGGCGGGGCUAGGGGGCACAAUAUCACAUUACAAUUACACAAGGACCUUAAGGGACAUAGUCUUAAAAUACAGUUCCAUUUCUUUUUGUAGGGUACUAAAAUGGUGUUUUCUGUUUGUAAAUUUACAUUUGUGUAUAUGAAAUUUGGCCAAAAGAACAAUGAAAUGAAUUACAUAAAUGUUUCAUCUUAUUUCUAUUGUAUGUAAAGAAUCCAAACAGUACAUCUCUCCACAAUAGUGUAAAAUCUUCAUAAAUGUGUUCAAUUAUAAACCUACUGAUGUCUUGCCACAGUUCUUACAUGCAUACAAUGCCCAAAAAGAUUCAACACUGUUUCUGAGUAGUCAUUACAAAAGGAGCAAUUUGAGUUGAUGUUUUCCUUAAACUUCUUCAUAUAGUGGUUGGCAGGAUAAUAAUUUUAAAGGAAACUCUCUUAAUUUUGUUAACAAGUAGGUAUUUCUUCUUACCGUCCUUGUAUUACAGACUUCCCAUCUUUCUCUCUAUUUCCCUCUUUCUCCUCCCCCUCCUGACCUCACUCUCUUCCUCCCCCUCUGUCUUUUCCCUUCCUCCAUCAGGAUGUCAUCUCUUCCCCGACCUCGUCAUGUGAUCUGGGAGACAGAGGAGCUGGUGGCCUACCUCCACCCCCAGCCCUGGACCCCAGGCACUACCAUCCUGGAGCCGAAGACCCCCAGGGGCCCAGAUGAGGAACCAAGCCCAGCUCAGGGCAGUCUCUUCAGGCUGGGUGAGGGAGCCUACCUGAGGUUGCUGCUGGGGGCCAGGGAGGUGGGGGCCCUGCUGUGUGAGAGGCUGGGGGUGAAGAGAUGUGCCCUGGUCUGCAGGCCCCACCCAGACAGUAACAGUCCACCCCAGAUCCGGGUGCUGCCGCUACACGGCCUUGACAGCGAGUGGCGCCCCCACCUGGCGGGAGAUGAGCACUACACCCACCACGACCCCGGCUACGUCACCUCUAAAAGCGGCCCUCGCUGGACUGACACGUCCCUCCAGGAGAUCCAGGCCGAGAUCCGGGCCCAGCUCCCUUCCCCCAAUGCCCUACCAAACCUCACCUUCCUGGGGGAAGACCCAUCGCACCCCAGCCUCUUCUCCCGGAUCGUCCGUGGAGAGGAGCAGCAGUGGAGGGUGUGGGAGGAUGAGGGACACGUGGCAUUCCUCACCCCCUUUCCCAACGCCCCCGGUCUCACCGUACUGGUCCCCCGUCGACCGCUGACCUCGGAUAUAUUUCGACUUGAAGAGGCAGAUUAUACGAGUUUGGUACUGGCAACCCAGAAGGUGGCCAGGGUUUUGGAAGAGGGUCUUGGAGCGUGGGGGGUGGGGUUGAUAUUCGAGGGGUUUGAGAUUGACUAUGCUCAUGCUAAAUUGAUACCUCUGCUCUCUCCGCCCUCCUCUCACCAGGUUGAUGGGGGCUCCACCACCACCACUGGCUCUCUACCACCUCAGGCCCAGUUUAGUGCCACCUAUCCUGGGUUUGUGACCUCUGAGGAUGGCCCUGAGGCCAGCCUGGAGUGUUUGAAGGAGUUACAGGCCAAAAUCACACAGUAAUGAUGAUGUAAUGUAUUGACAUGUUAUGAAAUAUGUAUGUAAUUGCAUAUUAUGAAGGACCUGAAACUGGGUGAUUAUAGUAUUGAUGUAUUGCACUUGACUACAUACAUUCCUAUUGGUUGACUUGGUAAUGUGAGAGCUUUUUUUCAAUAUGAAGCCUGUUGCUUCAUGUACAUACUGAUUUGGUACCAAAUUCUGUAGAUGUGACUGUUUCUGUCAUUUUAUUAUGAACUUGAAAUAGGACAAUCAAGAGCUUUAUUUGAUAAACAUGGUACUGUAAGGGUUUUAAAUAUAUCCUUUGAUAAGUACUUAACAGUAGCAUGGAAAUAUACAUGAUUGUUUGAUCAAAAUAAACAUGUGAUUUCUAUUA
ensembl:lncRNA